rnacentral:rRNA from 1 species
GCCCGACGGGUCGCCCCCCCCCCCGGGGUUCCUGCGCGGAGAUGAGCCGACGAGCGCAGCAAAAAGGGCCUUAUGGCCUGCCCAAUAACCUUGGGGGAUGAUACCCGUCUAUUCAUGACAUAAAGAAAACAACCGAAUAUUACGAACCACAGUUUAAAAUUCAAAGACUUUGGCGGUGUCUUAUAAAACCAGGGGAACCUGUCUCAUAACUCGAUAAUCCACGUUUACCUAACCACUUUUAGAAACCCAGCUUGUGUACUGCCGUUGUAAGCACACCUUUAAAAGAAUUAGUGUGCUACUAUAAUUAUACAUAACUUAUAUACAUCAGGUCAAAGUGCAGCCAAUAUAGUGGUGAUGAUGGGUUACAACUACAAAAAUAAUGCGAAUUACUACAUAAAAAAUACUAUGAAGAUGGACCUGGAUGUAAUUAUAUAUAACACUAAUAAAAUGAACUAAAAUCUAAGACAUGUACACAUCGCCCGUCACUCACCCAACGUU